rnacentral:misc_RNA from 1 species
UGGUUCUGGCAUCGAUGAAGAACGCAGCGAAAUGCGAUAAGUAGUGUGAAUUGCAGAAUUUAGCGAAUCAUCGAAUCUUUGAACGCACAUUGCGCCUCUUGGUAUUCCAUGGGGCAUGCCUGUUCGAGCGUCAUUUGAACCUUCAAGCGCUGCUUGGUGUUGGGCGCCUGUCCUGCCUUUUGCGCGUGGACUCGCCUUAAAUGUAUUGGCAGCUACUCCGGUAGGCUUACAAGCGCAGCACAGUCCGCGCUUUAGGCUACCUACUAGCAUCCAGAAGCCUUUUUUCUACGCUUGACCUCGGAUCAGGUAGGGAUACCCGCUGA